UUUGUUUCUAUAUAACUUCUUAUCUUUCUUCCUUUUUCUUUUUCAUAAGUUGAUUUUUAAAUAUAUUUAAUACAUAAAAUGUGAUUUUCACAAAUUAUCUAUCACGUCAUUAUAAAUUGUUUUACAAAUAUGUUUUUUUUAAUUUAUUUAAUUCUACUUUUGUAUUCGUAUGAUGUAAAUUUAUCUUUAUAUUGGGAAAUGAUUGGAUAAUGAAGCAAGAUGUAUUAUAAACAUUAAUAAAAAUACAAUUUGUAUAAAGCUAAAAUUCUUCAAAAGUUUAUUGUUAAAAGAAUUAGUUUUUUUAUAACUUAUUCUUCUUUAUUAAUAUUUUGUAUUUAUAUCAAUUUUUUGUAUAUUAUAUUAAUGUUAGAAAUGUCUUUAUAAUCUUCAGCAUAAAAUAUGGCAAAAAUUAUUUUAUAUUAUUCCGCUUAUGUACAAUAAAGGAGACAAUUGUGACUCUAAAUGAUGAUAUUAAAUAUUGAGUCCUUAUUAUUUUGUACAAAAAAUCUAGAUAGAAAAGUAUUUUAUAUACUACCAAAUUAUUUUAAGCAGCUUGAUAAAACAGAGCAACAAUGUCUUGAAAAUAGAAAUUUUUGAUACAAUAUUAUUAUACAUCAUUCAGAUAUGCCUUAUAUGGAAACUGACAAUGUAUUCAGCAUUGGUACGUUGAACUGAUAUAGCAAAUGGAUCUGUUGGAUGAAAAAUAAACGCUACUAAUCUUCUUGCUGCAGUUGGUGCUGUACGACCAAACAUUCCUGCGUACAUUUUGAAUUUUAGAAGACCUGAAUCACGCGCAUAAAAGCUAUGAAAAAUAAAAAAUUACAUGUUAAAUUAUAAUCAAGGUAAUAUAAAAUAAACUUAAAUACCAAUGUACCGAAUAGGAUGUUCUCCAGAAGCUUUAGGUCGUUCCAUCAUAGAUACCCAUUUAUCAUCAUAACAGAACAAAGAUAGAUCAAG